ensembl:lncRNA
UCCCAAAGUGCUAGAAUUACAGAUGUGAGCUACUGUGCCUGACCUAUUUUAAGACACUCUAUACUUCACAUUCUACCAUUACCAUCUACCAAGAUUCUUUGAUUCCCUAAAUCCACCAUCUUUUCUCUCAUCCAAACUCUUGUCUUUCUUGAUCCUUACUGGUACCUUCCUUUGACUGUUUCCUACCGUUCUUCUUACCAUAGGUUAGACAUUUCCUGCUGGAGGCCUUUCUUGAUGAUGUGAAUUAGGUAUUUCAUUUCAGCCACAUAGGCACUUUGUAUGCUUUUCAAAGUACUUUGUAGUAUGUAUUUUAAUUGAUGUUUGGCUUCCUCAUCAAUUCAUCCCAGCAGACUACAAACUCUAUGAAGGCAGACAUUAUAAUUGUAUUCACUAUUGUAUUUCUGUACCUCGCGUAUAGUAAAUACACACAUCAUGGAUUUAUAUGUAAAUAUAUAGCGAUUAAAUUAAAAGAUCUCUAAAAUUUAAGUUUUUACGAGAAUGGAGGUUUUACAUUUCUGUUAAAAUGUAUAAUAAUAUAAACUAUAGAUUAACUUGCCCACCACAAAUAGAACUUUCUAAGUUAAAGGUGAGUUUUGGCAGUUUCAGGAAAGAGCUGGAUAGUGAAUCCCAAUGGAUGGGCUGCAGAUUUCUGAGAGGGGUGGCUGUGGAAUCAUUAAAAGCGUUAUCCAGAGUACAUGAAACACUGUCUAGAUUGCCAGUAUAUCUUCUACACAAUAGUAAAUCUAAUUUUCUAAUGUGUAUAGCUGCUGUCAUGCUUAAUAAUGUGCGAAUUCAUAUGACAGCGUAUCUGCAGUAAAGAUAACAUUUAUCCUUAUGCAAAAUCCCAGAGAAAAUUAAAAGUGCAAGUAUAACUGCGGAGGGGUGUAAUAGAGGGUUAUACAGAUUUUUAUCUUUGAAAAGAAGCUAUUCAGGAAAAGGUUGGAAAGUGCUUGCUUAGAGCAGAAAACUACUCCAUUGGGACAUAUCUGGAUACAGGUAUUAGUAUUGUGAGAUGAGGAAGGGCAUGUGCUUUGGAGUCAAAAAGUUUUGGGUUCAGUACCAGCUCUGUUACAGCCAGGGUUACCAGAGGUGAUACCAUCACCGUCCUCAUUCCUCAGGUUUAUCAUUUGUAAUACUUUCAACCUCAAAGUUUCUUGUGGAGAGUCAUUGAAAACCUGUAUGUGAUAGACUGAGCACAGUGCCUAGCACACAGCAAAUCCUAAAUGACUUUUAGCUAUUACACCACAACACGCCAUACUGGGAGAGCAUGGGGUGGGUUUGGGGGUUAUUUUAUGUGACAGAAUUGAGAAUACUGCACAUCUGCAUGAGAGGGAAUGUUGUUAUAUGGAAAUGGUUUGGAAUACUGUUAUAUAGAACUGGUGUGGCACUACCACAGACUCCACCCAUUGCCACAUGUGCCUAGGGUCAGACCUGAUUUGCUGUGUGCCAGCACUUUAACAUACACUAUUUCUAGUUUUCAUGUUAUAUACAGUACUCUUAUCUCAGUUUCACAUAUGAGAGAAACAGGCUCAGAGACAUCCAAGGAUUUGCCCAGGAAAAUAUAACCAAUGUAGCCACAGGACCUGAUUUGGACCCGGAUUUGUCUAGCUGAAGACAAAUGCUGAGAUUGAUUUGGGAACAAAAAACUUUAGGGGAAAAGGAAACCCAGGAACUUGGUACUGCAUUUUUUUCCCCUUCUGCUCUGUUACCAAGUUAUUAGCACUCAAAGCAAGUGUAUAUUCUCAGGAACACAGGAAUGAGAUGGCGGAUAAUUGUAAUCUAACUGAAAAGUAAUUUAUUAUGAUUUCCCUUGACUCUAGUCUCCACAGUGGUUCUAUACCAUUUCUUAUUCCAGCUUCUCUAAGUCCUGGAGAAUGAAUGUGCUUUGGUUUCCUUUCAACCCAUUCUGUUCUCUCCGCAAUUUACCCUGAACCAUUAAUUCAUUUACUAGAUAUACAGCAACCAUACAAACACAGAUGUCUAAGAAUUGGAAGUGUUGAUUAAUGAUAUUUCCUAUGGCUUUUCAUUUUACAUUAUAUAAAUGAUAAAGGUUUAUUUUGCAAAAGAGAAAGGACACCAUUUGUUAUGAUUUGGUUCUGUGUCCCCACCCAAAUCUCAUCUCCAGUUGUAAUCCCCAUAAUCUCCACGUGUUGAGGGAGGAAUCUGGUGAGAGGUGACUGGUUUAUGGAGAUGGUUUACCCCAUGCUGUUCUCAUAAUCGUGAGUGAGUUUUCAUGAGAUCUAAUGGUUUUGUAAGUGUUUGAUGGUUCCUCCUUUACAUGCUCACUCUCUCACUUGCCACAUUGUAAGAUGUGCCUGUUUCCCCUUCUGCCAUGAUUGUAAGUUUCCUGGGGCCUCCUCAGACAUGUGGAACUGUGAGUCAAUUAAACCUCUUUCCUUCAUAAAUUAUCCAGUCGUGGGUAUUUCUUUAUAGCAGUGUGAAAAUGGACUAAUAUACCAUUGUAUAAAAACUCCUUGUUAUCAAGGCUUAUUUUGAGUGGGCAUCGUAACGCAUGCCUGUAUUACUCUGGAGGCUGAAGUGGUAGGACUACUUAAGCCCAGGACUUUGAGGCUGCAGUGAGCUAUGAUUGUACUACUGGAUUCCAGCCUCAGUAACAGAAUGAGACCCUAUCUCUUAAAAAAUGCAAAAA